rnacentral:rRNA from 1 species
GACGAACGCUGGCGGCGUGCUUAACACAUGCAAGUCGAACGGAAAGGCCCCUUUGGUGGUACUCUAGUGUCGGACGGGUGCGUAACACGUGAGUAACCUUCCCUUGACUUCGGGAUAACUUCAGGAAACUGGGGCUAAUACCGGAUAGGAAUCCUUGCUGCAUGGUGGGGGUUGGAAAGCUUCGGCGGUUUUGGAUGGACUCGCGGCUUAUCAGCUUGUUGGUGGGGUAGUGGCUUACCAAGGCUUUGACGGGUAGCCGGCCUGAGGGGGCGACCGGCCACAUUGGGACUGAGAUACGGCCCAGACUCCUACGGGAGGCAGCAGUGGGGAAUAUUGCACAAUGGGCGGAAGCCUGAUGCAGCAACGCCGCGUGCGGGAUGACGGCCUUCGGGUUGUAAACCGCUUUCAGCAGGGGCGAAGCUUGUGGUGACGGUACCUGCAGAAGAAGCACCGGCUAACUACGUG